GACGAACGCUUGCGGCGUGCUUAACAUAUGCAAGUCGAACGGAAAGGCCCUGCUUUUGGGGGGUGCUCGAGUGGCGAACGGGUGAGUAACACGUGAGUAACCUGCCCUUGACUUUGGGAUAACUUCAGGAAACUGGGGCUAAUACCGGAUAGGAGCUCCUGCUGCAUGGUGGGGGUUGGAAAGUUUCGGCGGUUGGGGAUGGACUCGCGGCUUAUCAGCUUGUUGGUGGGGUAGUGGCUUACCAAGGCUUUGACGGGUAGCCGGCCUGAGAGGGUGACCGGCCACAUUGGGACUGAGAUACGGCCCAGACUCCUACGGGAGGCAGCAGUGGGGAAUAUUGCACAAUGGGCGGAAGCCUGAUGCAGCAACGCCGCGUGCGGGAUGACGGCCUUCGGGUUGUAAACCGCUUUCGCCUGUGACGAAGCGUGAGUGACGGUAAUGGGUAAAGAAGCACCGGCUAACUACGUGCCAGCAGCCGCGGUGAUACGUAGGGUGCGAGCGUUGUCCGGAUUUAUUGGGCGUAAAGGGCUCGUAGGUGGUUGAUCGCGUCGGAAGUGUAAUCUUGGGGCUCAACCCUGAGCGUGCUUUCGAUACGGGUUGACUUGAGGAAGGUAGGGGAGAAUGGAAUUCCUGGUGGAGCGGUGGAAUGCGCAGAUAUCAGGAGGAACACCAGUGGCGAAGGCGGUUCUCUGGGCCUUUCCUGACGCUGAGGAGCGAAAGCGUGGGGAGCGAACAGGCUUAGAUACCCUGGUAGUCCACGCUGUAAACGGUGGGUACUAGGUGUGGGGUCCAUUCCACGGGUUCCGUGCCGUAGCUAACGCUUUAAGUACCCCGCCUGGGGAGUACGGCCGCAAGGCUAAAACUCAAAGGAAUUGACGGGGCCCCGCACAAGCGGCGGAGCAUGCGGAUUAAUUCGAUGCAACGCGUAGAACCUUACCUGGGUUUGACAUGGAUCGGGAGUGCUCAGAGAUGGGUGUGCCUCUUUUGGGGUCGGUUCACAGGUGGUGCAUGCCUGUCGUCAGCUCGUGUCGUGAGAUGUUGGGUUAAGUCCCGCAACGAGCGCAACCCUUGUUCACUGUUGCCAGCACGUUAUGGUGGGGACUCAGUGGAGACCGCCGGGGUCAACUCGGAGGAAGGUGGGGAUGACGUCAAGUCCUCAUGCCCCUUAUGUCCAGGGCUUCACGCAUGCUACAAUGGCUGGUACAGAGAGUGGCGAGCCUGUGAGGGUGAGCGAAUCUCGGAAAGCCGGUCUCAGUUCGGAUUGGGGUCUGCAACUCGACCUCAUGAAGUCGGAGUCGCUAGUAAUCGCAGAUCAGCAACGCUGCGGUGAAUACGUUCCCGGG
rnacentral:rRNA from 1 species